rnacentral:rRNA from 1 species
AAUAAGAUACCCCGGUAGUCCACACCGUAAACGUUGGGCGCUAGGUGUGGGACUCAUUCCACGAGUUCCGGUGCCGCAGCUAACGCAUUAAGCGCCCCGCCUGGGGGAGUACGGCCGCAAGGUUAAAACUCAAAGGAAUUGACGGGGGGCCCGCACAAGCGGCGGAGCAUACGGAUUAAUUCGAUGCAACGCGAAGAACCUUACCUAGGUUUGACAUAUACGAGAAGCCUCUAGAGAUAGAGGUCUCUUUGGACACUUGUAUACAGGUGGUGCAUGGCUGUCGUCAGCUCGUGUCGUGAGAUGUUGGGUUAAGUCCCGCAACGAGCGCAACCCUCGUCUUAUGUUGCCAGCACGUAAUGGUGGGGACUCAUAAGAGACUGCCGGGGUCAACUCGGAGGAAGGUGGGGAUGACGUCAAGUCAUCAUGCCCCUUAUGCCUAGGGCUUCACGCAUGCUACAAUGGCUGGUACAAGGGGCUGCGAUACCGCAAGGUGGAGCGAAUCCCAAAAAGCCAGUCUCAGUUCGGAUUGGGGU